CACCGCGGUUAUACGAGAGGCCCAAGUUGACAGGCCCCGGCGUAAAGAGUGGUUAAUAAACAACAAACUAAAGCUAAACACCUUCAAAACUGUCAUACGUUCCCGAAGGCAGGAAGACCUUCAACGAAAGUAGCUUUAACCAGACAUGACCCCACGAAAGCUAGGACA
rnacentral:rRNA from 1 species